rnacentral:rRNA from 1 species
CCUACGGGAGGCAGCAGUAAGGAAUAUUGGACAAUGGUCGCAAGACUGAUCCAGCCAUGCCGCGUGAAGGAUGAAGGCCCUAUGGGUUGUAAACUUCUUUUGUAUGGGAAAAAACCCUUCUACGUGUAGAAGGCUGAUUGUACCAUAAGAAUAAGGAUCGGCUAACUCCGUGCCAGCAGCCGCGGUAAUACGGAGGAUCCAAGCGUUAUCCGGAUUCAUUGGGUUUAAAGGGUGCGUAGGCGGAAUGAUAAGUCAGUGGUGAAAUCCUGCAGCUUAACUGCAGAACUGCCAUUGAUACUGUCAAUCUUGAGUACAUUUGAUGUGGGCGGAAUGUGUCAUGUAGCGGUGAAAUGCUUAGAUAUGACACAGAACACCGAUUGCGAAGGCAGCUCACAAAACUGUAACUGACGCUGAGGCACGAAAGCGUGGGUAUCAAACAGGAUUAGAUACCCUGGUAGUCCACGCUGUAAACUAUGAUUACUCGAUGUUUGCGAUACACUGUAAGCGUCUAAGCGAAAGCGAUAAGUAAUCCACCUGGGAGUACGCUCGCAAGAGAGAAGUACGAAGAAGUUAGACGGCGNGGAGACGAGCGACGGACGACGACGACGGGGAGGUUAGG